rnacentral:rRNA from 1 species
AUACGGAGGGUGCAAGCGUUAUUCGGAAUCACUGGGCGUAAAGGGUGCGUAGGCGGUUUGAUAAGUCUGAUGUGAAAUCCUAUGGCCCAACCAUAGAACUGCAUUGGAAACUGUCAGACUAGAAUACUGAAGGGGCAGAUGGAAUUAGUGGUGUAGGGGUAAAAUCCGUAGACAUCACUAGGAAUACCGAAAGCGAAAGCGAUCUGCUGGGAAGUUAUUGACGCUGAGGCACGAAAGCGUGGGGAGCAAACGGGAUUAGAAACCCUAGUAGUCC